GACGAACGCUGGCGGCGUGCCUAAUACAUGCAAGUUGAGCGCUGAAGGUUGGUACUUGUACCAACUGGAUGAGCAGCGAACGGGUGAGUAACGCGUGGGGAAUCUGCCUUUGAGCGGGGGACAACAUUUGGAAACGAAUGCUAAUACCGCAUAAAAACUUUAAACACAAGUUUUAAGUUUGAAAGAUGCAAUUGCAUCACUCAAAGAUGAUCCCGCGUUGUAUUAGCUAGUUGGUGAGGUAAAGGCUCACCAAGGCGAUGAUACAUAGCCGACCUGAGAGGGGGAUCGGCCACAUUGGGACCGAGACACGGCCCAAACUCCUACGGGAGGCAGCAGUAGGGAAUCUUCGGCAAUGGACGAAAGUCUGACCGAGCAACGCCGCGUGAGUGAAGAAGGUUUUCGGAUCGUAAAACUCUGUUGGUAGGGAAGAACGUUGGUGGGAGUGGAAAGCUCAUCAAGUGACGGUAACUACCCAGAAAGGGACGGCUAACUACGUG
rnacentral:rRNA from 1 species